CUCAGCAGCUUUUCCUCUGGACAGGUUUUGAUAAAUCUCCCCCUAUGUUUUGAAAUUAUUACCAUUUUUUUUCGAAGUCACCACAUGAUAAAGGCAGUACUAUUACUCAAGGUUAUUUGUGCUGAACAUCAGAUACCUUCCAGCAUAAAGAGGGCUUUUAAAUCCCCAGGAUAUAUCAGACCAGAAAGCACCAGCAAGAAAACAGAGUGCUGACAGCAACCCAGAGAGAAAACAGAGAUGGUGGGGAAGAAGAUAUACUACAAAAUGUCCCAUGUUGAGACCCUGAUAUCUUAGAUGAAUUUUGCUGAAAUAUAAACUAGUAACUUUGGGCAAGAAGAAGAAACAAGCCCUCCUUUGAAACUGUUUCUGUAAGGGCUGUGGUCACACAUGACCUACUGCCAUGGUAGCGGAUGAGUGGAGAUAGAUGCAGAUAGAUAUAGCCUGCAUGUGUCUGUGGGGAAGUGAUAAGGCAGUGCUGCCUGUUGCAGGGCUUUCUAAAUAAUAUACACCUGAUCCAAUGCUGCAGCAGAUGUAUUGGAGGAAAAAAAGGCAAAGUUUCCGGAAAAUAAAUGCUGUAUCCUCAACAUGCUGCAAAUUUGAAAAACUAGUCCCGAGACUAUAUAAAAUGUAUUUUCAUAUUGACUUCCAGCUAAUAUCUGGAUGCAGUGUUUUUGGCCCAACAACAAAUAUGGCGCAUAAUUCCCCCCAUACUACAAGCCUAGAUUUUAUGUUACAAAAUAAAGUGAUCAGCUUUAAUCCAUGGCUUCAAGCCAACCUUCACUUCAUUGAAAAUAUUUUAUAAACAUUGAAAAAAACCUCUUCAUCACCGAAACUAAAAUGUUAAAGUGAUGCGGAUCAGCUGCCAUCGAUAACUAUAACUGCCACAACUACUAACAAAGGAACUUAUCAUUUGCUUCCCCCAUCUCCUUUGCUCAGAAGCUAUAUAAGACAGGCACAAUGUCCUGACAGUGCAAAGCAUAAUUAAAGUCUCUUGCAGCUUUGACAGUAGGUUACCAUAAAUGUUUCUGAAUCAAGGUGAGAAGAGACGCCUACUUCACAGAUGAAAAUGGAAAAGUCAAGAAAUUCAGCUUCUCAUUUUCCUCUCAUAAAAGUGAAUAAUGCUUGGUGUCAAGAGCUAAAGGCAGCCAGAUCAUUUCCUUCCAGCUCUCUGACAGAGGCACUUCAUAUAUUCAACUCAGAAAUUCAUGUAUAAUUUGGGGUUAUUUGUUUAAAAUGAGCAUCGGUAAUCCAUCUCAAUCACAUUGUUAAUCUAGUAAUGAGAAACUUAGUUAAUCAAGUCCAUAUAACAAGGUGAGAGAAAUGGAAGCAGUCAUGCACCUUUAUCAUAUUAAUAACCAUUAUUAUACUCAGUCCUUGCCAGA